GCGGGAUUAGCUCAGUUGGUACGAGCGGCGCUUUUACACAGCGAAGGUCGCAGGUUCGAUCCCUGCAUCCCGCACCA
rnacentral:tRNA from 3 species